UCAUUGAGAGUCAACAUGUACAAACCUCUUAUCAUUAUCACAGUCCCCCUCUUCUGGAUCACAGAGCCAGACAUCCCUGUCACUCCACCCAAAGUCAAAGUCCUUCCACCCUCCACUAAGGAGUGUGAAGAUAGAAACAAGAAGAAGAAGAAGACGUUGGUGUGUGUGGCCACCGACUUCUACCCCGACCACGUCACUGUGUUCUGGAAGUUAAAUGGAGGCGCCAACAUCACCGAUGGAGUGGGGACCGACAACACUGCCUUGAGGGAUGAAAACAGACGCUACAGUAUCACCAGCAGACUGAGAGUCCCAGCCAAGACAUGGAACACGGCCUCUAACAGAUUCACCUGCACCGUCCGCUUCUUCAAUGGGACCGAUGACAUAUAUGUUGCAGAUCACAUUAACGGAGAAGAAGGUGGUGAUGGAGGGAUGACGACAGAGUACUACGUGAAGAGCACCCAGACUGCCAAGCUGGCCUACAGCUUCUUCAUCGCUAAGAGUACCUUCUACGGCCUGGUCGUCGUGGCUCUGAUUUGGAAGUUUCAGCGCUCCUCAGAUAAACAGAUGUAAUUGAUCCCUGACCGAGACCAGGCCACCUGUGGAAGCUGAGCUCAGUGUACUGGAGGGAGUCAUGUGUGGCAUAAGGCUCUGGUGAAAAGUAGUGCACUAUAAAGGGAACAGGAUGCCAUUUGGGACGAAGAACAAACCCAUUUCUAUCAUGUGAUUACAAUGUACAGUGUGCUGUCUAUUAUCUGUCACUUACUAUACAAUGUGAGGAUGUAUUUUAUCGUCCCCAAUAAACAGAAUCUUUAUUCAUGUAUUCACUGAGUGUACAAAACAUUAAGAACACCUUCCUCAUCCUCCCCCUUGAAUUCGUCGGGGACAUGGACUCUACAAGGUGUUGAAAGCGUUCCACAGGGAUGCUGGCCCAUGUUGACUCCAAUGCUUCCCACAGUUGUGUCAAGUUGUCUGGAUGUCCUUCGGGUGGUGGACCAUUCUUGAUAAACACCGGAAACUGUAGAACGUGAAAAACCCAGCAGCGUUGCAGUUCUUGACACAACCAGUGCACCCAGCACCUACUACCAUACCCCCGUUCAAAGGCACUUAAAUAUUUUGUCUUGUCCAUUCACCCUCUGAAGGACACACAGACACAAUCCAUGUCUCUAUUGUCUCAAGGCUUAAAAAUCCUUCCUUUAUCCAGUCUCCUCCCCUUCAUUCUACUUAACAAGUGGGAUCAUAUCUUUCACCUGGAUUCACCUGGCCAAUUUAUGUCAUGGAAAGAGCAGGUGUUCAUAAUGUUUUGUUCACUCAGUGUAUAUGAGUUAAUUCAGGAAGUGUGUCAAAAAACUAUUCCAUUAACUUACAAAAUCAACAUUUAUGUUAAUGUUUGUAUUAUUUUUGUUGCAGGAAUUACAUCAUAGUGUAUACAGUAUAAAUAUAUGUUGCUUUCCAAUUUCAAUGUUUUCCUGAUGAACAACACAUUCAAUAAUGUGCAAAUAGAGGCGUCUGGGUUUGGCCCCGGUAGGCCGACAUUAUAAAUAAGAAUUUGUUUUUUAACUGACUUGCCCAGUUAAAUAAAGGUUAAAUAAAAUAUAUAUA